rnacentral:rRNA from 1 species
AUUGAACGCUGGCGGCAUGCCUUACACAUGCAAGUCGAACGGCAGCACGGGUGCUUGCACCUGGUGGCGAGUGGCGAACGGGUGAGUAAUACAUCGGAACGUACCUUAUCGUGGGGGAUAACGCAGCGAAAGCUGUGCUAAUACCGCAUACGCCCUGAGGGGGAAAGCGGGGGAUCGAAAGGCCUCGCGCGAUUAGAGCGGCCGAUGCCUGAUUAGCUUGUUGGUGGGGUAAAAGCCCACCAAGGCGACGAACAGUAGCUGGUCUGAGAGGACGUUCAGCCACAAUGGGACUUAGAGACGGCCCAGGCUCCUACGGGAGGGAGCAGUGGGGAAUGUUGGACAAUGGGGGCACCCCUGAUCCAUCAAUGCCGCGUGAGUGAAGAAGGCCUUCGGGUUGUAAAGCUCUUUUGUCAGGGAAGAAACACCGGCUCUAACACAGUCCGGGAAUGACGGUACCUGAAGAAUAAGCACCGGCUAACUACGAGCCAGCCGCCGCAGUAA